rnacentral:rRNA from 1 species
GCGCGAAAACUUUACAAUGCUGGCAACAGCGAUAAGGGAACCUCGAGUGCCAGGUUACAAAUCUGGCUGUCGAGAUGCCUAAAAAGCAUUUCAUAGCAAGGGCCGGGCAAGACCGGUGCCAGCCGCCGCGGUAACACCGGCGGCUCGAGUGGUAACCGUUAUUAUUGGGUCUAAAGGGUCUGUAGCCGGCCGGAGAAGUCUCUUGAGAAAUCUGGCAGCUUAACUGUCAGGCCUUCAGGAGAUACUGUCUGGCUCGAGGCCGGGAGAGGUGAGAGGUACUUCAGGGG